ensembl:snRNA U4 U4 spliceosomal RNA
AACUUUAUGCAGUGGCAGUAUUAUAGCCAAUGAGGUUUAUCUGAGGCACAACUAUUGAUAAUUGAAAAGAAUUUCGGGGUAGUAAAACAAUAAAAC